rnacentral:sRNA from 1 species
UUGACAGCCCUGGCACUGAACUCCUUUAUUUAUGCACACAGAGUACAGUACAGGCAGCAAGAAUGCAAGCUUCCAACACACAACCUUGCCUGGGUGCCUCCAGGAUCGCCUGGAGGGAAAACAGCUAGGGCUGUGAGGGGAGUUCAGUCUCAAUGGCCCAAUUAGUCCUUGGGCUCU